GCCUCCUUAGCUCAGUUGGUAGAGCAACGCACUCGUAAUGCGUAGGUCGCGGGUUCGACUCCCGUGGGAGGCU
rnacentral:tRNA from 1 species